GACAGAGGUGCCGAGCGUUAUGCGGAAUCACUGGGCUUAAAGCGUGUGUAGGCGGCUUCCUAAGUUCCUUGUGAAAUCCCAUGGCUCAACCAUGGAACUGCUUGGUAUACUGGGUGUCUUGAGCCAGCUAGGGGCUACCGGAACAAAUGGUGGAGCGGUGAAAUGCGUAGAUAUCAUUUGGAACGCCAAUGGUGAAAACAGGUAGCUGGGGCUGUGCUGACGCUGAGACACGAAAGCCAGGGGAGCGAACGGG
rnacentral:rRNA from 1 species